UACGUAGGGUGCGAGCGUUGUCCGGAAUUACUGGGCGUAAAGAGCUCGUAGGUGGUUUGUCGCGUUGUUCGUGAAAACUCACAGCUUAACUGUGGGCGUGCGGGCGAUACGGGCAGACUGGAGUACUGCAGGGGAGACUGGAAUUCCUGGUGUAGCGGUGGAAUGCGCAGAUAUCAGGAGGAACACCGGUGGCGAAGGCGGGUCUCUGGGCAGUAACUGACGCUGAGCCGCGAAAGCCAGGGGAGCGAACGGG
rnacentral:rRNA from 1 species